GCCGGGUGGGACUUACCAGCUGGGGAGGUGUGCCCCCAAAUAAUUUUUUUGCUCUCUGUCUUGAUCUGCCCCCCUGCCCCUUCCCUCCCCACAGACUUACCUGCUGAGCAGAGGGUGAGGGGGUGGCAGCGGUGCACAGUAGAUCUUGGGUUGCUUUUAAAUGCCAAAAGUUAUCUCCUACUUAAAAAGGUUGGAGACCACUGUUCUAGGGUGAGAAGGUCUUUCAGGGAGCUAGAUCUCAAGCUCCUAAUACAGCUCAGGGCCUUGAAUUGCGUGCUGAUGCGUCCACAGUAGGGUUUCCUGGUGUGAAACGUGAAAAUGACUCCUUUUCCAGUUUGUUCUGCCACACCAACUUCGAACCACUUUCUGCGUCUGGAACCAAGAAACUCCAAACAUAGCUAAUUUUAGCAGUUCUGUCUCUCUGUUGAGCUGGUCUUAAUUUAUAGAGACAGACAUGUAGGACCUGUGCCCAUUUGCAUACAAGUCAGUUACUAGUCUCCUAAUGGCACAAGGUUCAAGAUAAACUGCAAAGAACAUUCCAAAUGGAACGUAGUCAUCCCCUGCAUGCAAGCCCUUGCUUCUCGUAAAAGAAAAAUAACCCUGGGAAAUAACUAGCAUUUCCUUUUAUGUGUAAAACAAAGGUAGGGAAGGGUGUCAUUGGAGUGAUCUCUGUUCAAAGAACUCUGUUCAUUCUUUCAGCACUAUCAUUUCUUAACCGGAAAUAUGACUAACUUUGUAUGCAACACACGCACACCUAUAAUGACACCCAGCAAUCACAGCUUAGUCCUCUUUAAUGAUGUAACUUGCAUGACCUGUCUGGGGCCCAGUGCCAGUGAUAAAGCUUUAAUCGGUACUUUGCUUUGUUACUAAUGAAUGUCAGACAAGUUCUUGCCAGGCUGUACUAAGGUUUACCAAAUUAUAAUCCUGUAAUAAUGAGUACAACAUAUCAGUAAAAACCUCAGGCAGAAGAAGCAAGGUCUUCAGCUUGAUUUAUGCUGAAUAGCAUGUUAGUGGUGACAACUACUUCAGAGUAAAGAUGGGAAGAUGACUGUUCAUUUGUGGCUGAAGCCUGUUACGGACAAAGCAACAGUGAAAUAGCAAUCGCUUAAAGACAUGUCUACAGAAAAUAAUUUAUUACAGUUGGUUAGUUUAGUACUGUUCUUGUGGAUUUCCUUCCAGCAGGUGACACAUGAGGAGACUGCUAACUAAGAAAACAUCUUAGCAGCACAAAAUAAUGUGAAGUUAUUGACAGGGAAACUUCAAAAGGAGUAAUAACACCUGGAGGUUUCUGCCUUACAUUUCCUUUUGCUGUAAAUAAUUUAAGUGCAUUAAUUAAGUUGAAAUCUUUGUUACUUGAAAUUAAUUGGACUUCUAUAAUGUCUUUCAUCUAAGGGCCUCAGUCAAUGCAUAAAGUUUUACAACAUCCUGGGACUGUCAUAUUGAGUCAUACCAGCAAAUAUCUGAUUUUUAUGACUUUGAGGAGCUUUUAUGGAAAAAUGGCUUCUAGCUUCCAAACUAUGGACUACAAAAGCGUGCUCUCCUCAACAUCAGAAAGCAUUUCUAUGCUUCUGAAAAGGCAGCCUGUGUGUCAGGCAAGGUCACUGCACAAUUCCCUCUGCCCUAUUUAAAAAUAUCUCACAAUCGUAACCAAUGUAAACAGUCACCUAGUCCCAGUCUGUGCCUCUGUAGUGCAUGUUUGACGUAGCAAAAGAAGGCAUCUAAAAAAAGCAGAUAUGUUUCCCCUCUGGAUGUUAAAAUCUCGGUUGAAAAAAGGAGGGGGGAAAAGCAAAGGAACCAAAAUCUGAAAUAUCAAUAGAGAAGCUGCAUCUCUUUCAAGACGAAUCUCUACUGAGACUAACUAAACAAGAAACCAUUGAGGAUAUGUAAAAAUUCCUCUCUUCUUGCAUUGAGUCUCUCUGCAACCACUGGCCACUGGCUUCUCUGCUCCUUUUUGUAACAAAUGCUCCACUCUCUUUUGCCCUACCGCAGUGGUACAUAACUUUUUGGCCCUGAGGGCUGGAUGAGUGGCAUGAGGUUGGUCCACAGGCCAGAUAUGAUCUGUAGACACAAUCUGGAGUGUACAGGACUGGGCCCUGAUUCAGCAUUUUUAAAGUAUUGGUUGUUUGACAUGGUUAUACAAUUUUAUAUGUUUGAGUAAGUUUGAGUAAGCUCCUGGGAGAGCAGUGAAGUGGUCAGAGGGCAGUUGAGAUAAUCAAAGGCACGUGACAACAUUUAAUUAAAUUUUUUUGCAAUUUAUUAGCUGCUUCCCCAACCAUUGCCAAAUUUCCAAGACUGUGGGCCACAUGACAUGGUCCUGUGCACACUGUUUGGUGUAUUCUGUCCAUUGCUAAACCAGUGUAGUAUGUCAUCUAGCCACUUCCUAUACUAUUUGCCCUCUACCAGACUGAAGACCAGGGUCUUUAGUAGGUGAUUGUCCUUUGUUUGACUAGUGCAUGUGCAAACACCUGGAGUUUGCUUCUCAUUGCCAUAUCAGUGACAUCUCUCUUGGCCUGCUGAUUGCAAGCAGCUGUCUGCAACAUUUCAUUUCAAAGGCCAGGGGCUGGGCUGGGCUAGGCUGGGAAACAAGAGGGUGUCAGAUGAAAACUGCCAGGCACUCCCUUUUUAGCAAGCAGCAUGCUGGCUUAGCUGCAUGCCUUGUGUUUAUUUUUUUAAGUUGUCAGAGGGCCUGUGACCCCUUGGGCCAUAUUGAGUCAGGCAUUGGAGAAGGAAGGUUGGUGCCCUCUAUAGCUCAGGGAUUGGUUCCAGGAUGGGAAAGGGGAAUGGGUAAGGUGAAGGCUUCGGGGAUAGCUCUGUCAGGCCUUCAGUCAGUGCAGAUGUAGUCAGGGAUCUUCUGGAAGGGCUAGACAUUUUUAAAUCUGCAGGUUCAGAUGCCCUCCACCCAAGGGUGUUGAGGGAGCUGGCAGGGGUCAUCACGAAGCCCUUGGCCCAGCUGUAUGAGCAUUUGUGGUCAUCUGGCCAGGUGCCAGGGGAUUGGAAACUAAUGUGGUCCCAAUUUUCAAGAAGGGGAGGAAGGAGGACCCAAGUAACUAUAGCCUGUAAGCCUCACCUCGGUGCUCGGAAAGAUCUUGCAGAGAAUCAUCAAGGAGCACAUCUGUGGGGGCCUGCAAGGGAGAUCAUGCUCAGGGCCAAUCAGCAUGGGUUCAUCAAAGGCAGGUCCUGCCUGACCAUAGAUUCAUAGAUGCUAGGGUCGGAAGGGACCUCAAUAGAUCAUCGAGUCUGACCCUCUGCAUAGGCAGGAAAGAGUGCUGGGUCUAGAUGACCCCAGCUAGAUGCCUAUCUAACCUCCUCUUGAAGACCCCCAGGGUAGGGGAGAGCACCACCUGAUUGCCUUUUGUGACCAAGUAACUAAAUCCUUGGAUGAUGGUGUUGCUGUGGAUGUAGUCUUUCUAGACUUUAAGAAAGCCUUUGACACUGUCUCUCACCCCAUCCUCAUCAAUAAAUUAAGAGACUCUGGCAUUGAUGCCUAUACAGUUGGAUGUUUAAAAAAUUGGCUGAUGGGGCGCACCCAGAGCGUAGUGGUGGACAGGUUGUACUCAACCUGGCGAGAUGUGAGCAGUGGGGUACCCCAGGGCUCGGUCCUUGGGCCCACACUGUUUAACAUCUUCAUCAGUGACUUGGAUGAGGGGGUGAAAAGCACGCUGUCCAAGUUUGCUGAUGACACUAAGAUGUGGGGCGAGGUGGACACACUUGAAGGGAGAGAGAGGCUGCAACUAGAUUUAGACAGACUACAAAAGUGGGCAGAUGAGAAUAGGAUGGGGUGCAAUGUAGACAAAUGCAGGGUGCUGCACCUUGGAAGAAGGAAUCCACAGCAUACAUACAGGCUGGGGAGUUCCCUUCUUGAAAGCACAGAGGCAGAAAGGGAUCUUGGAGUCAUUAUUGAUUCCAAGAUGAACAUGAGCCACCAAUGCCAGACUGCAGCCAGCAAGGCCAGCCAUACCUUGUCAUGCAUCCAAAGGUGCAUCUCAAGCUGGUCCAGAGAGGUGGUACUCCCCCUCUAUGUGAUUUUGGUCAGGCCACAGUCGGAGUACUGCGUCCAGUAAUGGGCACUGCACCUCAAAAGGGAUGUGGCCAGCCUAGAGAGGGUUCAGACGAGGGCCACCCGCUUGGUGAGAGGGCAGCAGAACAGGCCCUAUGAGAAGAGACUGAGGGACCUGAACCUGUUCAGCCUCAGCAAGAGGAGGCUGAGGGGGGACCUGGUGGCUGCCUAGAAACUCAUCAGGGGAGAUCAACAGCAAAUAGGUAGAGCCCUUUUCUCCCCAGCACCACCUGGGGUGACAAGGAACACUGGUCAUAAGCUGAUGGAGAAUAAGUUUAGGUUAGAGAUCAGAAGGCAAUAUUUUACAGUUAAGGUGGCCAAAAUCUAGAACCAACUUCCCAGGGAAGUGGUCCUCGCCCCUAUCUUGGGCAAAUUCAAGAGGAGGUUGGACGAUCACCUGUCUGGGGUCUUGUGAACCCAGCAUUCAUUCCUGCCUGUGGCAGGGGGGCAGGCUAGAUGAUCUGUUCAGGUCCCUCCUGACCCUAGCUACUAUGAAACUAUAAGGCUGCCCGCUUCCUCUCUGUUGGGCAGAGUUGUUCACUCUGGUCUUCAGCCUACGGGGUUAGGUCAGGUGUGUAUCCAAGGCACAUGCCAGAAUGCUCUCUCACCAUCAGGAGUGUACUUCAGCCCAAAGCCCAUCCCUAUCAUCUGCUGCUUGACCACUGAAAAACAAGCUGAGUUGUGCCAGUGACCAUCUCCUUGGCCUAUGGUACUUUGGCUUUAUCCGUCUCACCUAGGAGUUGCUAGCUUUUAAGAGAGGAGAUUCUUCCAGUUUAAAGAAUCACUCCUUUUGUUCAGCUUAUGCUCAGAAAGUACAGAUGCUCUUUUGUUUUGUCAAAUGCUCUGAAAUCAUGCUUAUCACUGACAAUAAGUAAGCUCUAAAAGAUAACAAAAAAAUUUAUUAUAAGAACAAGAGCAAUCAUAAGCAAUCAGUAAACUUAUGCUGAGAUAUUAGAAUACAUGAACAAAAGGAAAUAUUAGAACAGUGAUUUGACUUUAUCCCUGCAUCUUAGCCCUAAGAUCUAAGAAUGUCCAAGCCAAUGCCCUUGCCCUGACUGUCAGCUUGCAUUGCCCAACUAAACCAUGAGGGGACUAAAGCAACCUAUGCACAAGAAACUUUAUAUAAUAUUUGCCUUUCAAGGCCUGGUUUAAGUAUGAUUUCUUAUUUUGCCAUCUGCAUUUCUCUAUGGAAUUCUUGGGAUAUAAAUCUUAUGUCUACAACUUCCUGUAACAGUUUUAUAUCUGUUUGACCCCACAAGCACCUUUCCUAAUCCAAUUAUAACCAGAAAAAAAGUUUACAGCCUUAUAGCCACAAAAAUUACUAAUCCAGUAUCCUAGAAACAUACACUAUGUACAGACAUUUGCUCUUCCAGGGGAAUCUCUUCUGGGAGUAAUUUGACCCUGGUUGUUCCUGGGUUAUUUUUCUUCUGGAGUGGCCAUUUUUACUCUGAGACAAAAGCCUGAACAUUGUGGUUUCUCCUGGGAAAGCAGCGACUCUUCCAGGAGAAACUAAACAUCUGUAUAAGGCCACAGUCUCUCACUUAUUCUCCCCACUGUUAGAAAUACCCUAUUUUGAAUAGCCUAUUUCCAAGUAUAACUCUUGCUACAGGCCUUUCUUUUUAAAAAGCUAUUUAUCAUUGUCUGGAAGGGCCUGGCUCAUGUGCUUCAGACCAGGUCCACAAGGGCAUAUUUAGUUCCAUUAAACAUGUCCAUAUUGGAUGCUAAUUCUCAUUAAUUACUACUAUUGGCCAUUAAGGCCUUUAGCAUCUCCCAGGUGCAAGCCUCACUGUUUAGAGAGUAACAUUUAAAAAUCAUUAUCAUAUUAUGCAAUGCUAGCCCUACUAUAAACUAUAAAAAUGCAUUCACAUCAAGCAACACAACAAUAACAGCUUAAUGCCAUCUAUCUGUACAGACCACACAUGCCGUAUCACUAAAACAAAUUCAUGACAUUCAUGAAAACAUGCAUGACAUACCAUGGACACCUCAAAAUAUUGUGGGUUUGUGACAGAUCUUACUGUCUUGCAAUCCAUUGUUUGCUUAAAGACCUUCUGCUUCAAGACAUUGUCCUUCACUAGGAGCUCUGUGACCUCUUUGUCCUUGAUGGUGCAGAGUUCAGGUUGCUGCUACAUUGUUUUUCUUUUAGUACUUCCAUAUUUAGUAUCCCUACUUUACUUUUGAUAUUGUACUGUACAGUUUUAUUGCAUCUCCCAUGAGAUAUAGUCAGGGAUGAAGAUCCCAUUGUGUGAUAUGUCUCCCCAGUUUAUAUUUGCCUGCAGCCCUAGGUGGGUGAGAUUCAGUCCUGUGUCGGUAACAACAAAGAAUAACUAUUACAGUAUCUUACCUUUAAAGACUGAUACCUCCAUGUGUCAGUACUAGAAAUGGACCCUUUUAUUCCUUGCAAUGGGAGAAGUCCCAGCUUGAUGAGACUGAGCGCUCAGGACAGCUGCGGUUGAUGAAGUUCCCAUGACCUUUAGGGAAUAUCAUCACCACAGAUUUACUAUGCCAGACAGUAGUGCGUUUCAGCCUUCCAUGCUGUUCUGUGUGGGCUGUCUGCCAAACUAGUAGCUGUGUAGCCAGGUUUUCAUGAUGCUAAGUGCUGGCUAAUUAUCAUGGUUGAGAGGGAGAGCUAAUUAGGCUGCCUAAAGUGCCGUGUGUAAGGUGCCGUGGAGUGUUUGAGUGGUGCCACUUUGAGGCACAAUAUUUUAUGAUGCACACUAGUGUUCUGUGUUUAGAAAAUCUAUUUUGGGUCACGUUUAGUGUUCCUUAGGGCUCAGUUGGAAGUUUAUACGUCUAGAUCGGUGAUUGUUAACCAGGUGCCUUGAGAUCCUUUCAAGGGUCCCACAGGGCGCCACACACUGUUAACAUUGUUUAGGUUUUUCAGCACGAUUCACAAUGUAAACCCAGAGAUUUCAAAUAGAAAUCCAUAAUUGUGUCUCUUUGAGUGCUUUGCAACAGAAAAACUGCUCUAUUUUUAUUUUUACUUUUAUUUUUAUUAUUGUUAUUAUUAUUAUGCAUGCCUCAAGUCUAUCUAGGCAUGCCUUAUGUCUAAAAAUGUUGAGAACUAUUGGUCUAGAUUCAUGAUACCUAAGGCCUCUGACUUUGUAAGCAAAGCAAUCACACCUCUAGGACUGUUUCUUUGAUCUUUUGUUUUAAAAAUUCUCUAAAAUAUGACAAAAAUAGUUUUCUGUAACAUGAGCAUAUAGAGGAACACACAAAGGAGUAGAGUGAGUGAGUGCACGUGUUCAUGCACAUUACUGUAGGCUAACCUAAUUUCACUGUGUAUGAGCAUACCAAUGAUCCAAGUUUACUGCAAUGAAACUUCUGUCUCACAUUACCCUGUGAUGCCAUGUGCAUGUCUGUGCCUGUGUGUGUGUGUGUGUGUGUGUGUUAUAUAUACAUGCACACACACAUUAUGAUCUUUUAGAUUCAGACAGAAAAAACCUUAAGCUUCUUCUGGAGUUAGUGGACAUAUUUACAAGAUUAAAGGUCUGAAAAGUCCAAGUCCUUGUGUGACCUAGAAUAUUGCACCAUGAUCUUGUUUUGGCAAGUCAGAAUACAAGAUUUUCUGAAAUCUUCGUAUAUGGUAAGUAAAGAAAUUACAUUUAGAGCAACCUAACUAGGGUUAGACUGAUCUAAACACCCAUCUGUGCAGAAUCUUGGGUUUUAAUCAACCAAAAAUGGUGGGCCCAAUCUAAGUUAGUUUACCUGAGGAGGUGACCUAACCUAGAUCAGAAAGAGGUUAACCCAAUCCAGCACAGGUUUGGGCACAGCCCUGGGGCUGGGAAAGCUCAACCACUCGCCCCAGUCCUGGAGCUGUGCACUUCCUACCCCCUUGACCUAUUUUUAGCUCCCUGACCUCCCCACCCCCAGAGGGAAAACCCUUCCCCCAAACUCACCAGUUCCCCUCUGUUCCUGCCAAACCCCUCCUGGACCCACCAACCCCACCAUGGAUCCACUUGACCCCCUCAGUCCCACAUGCCCCUCUCCCCACCCUGAGUUACUUACACUGGGUUCCCCAUGCAGCUCCCAGCACUGGCAAAUACCUGUACAUGCUCUUCCCAGUCUGUGAUCAUGCAGCUUAAAGCAAGCUGUGAGAUCAUAGACUGGGUGCAAUGAACCUUUGGGUGUGCCCUUUGUUCCCUCUUGGACUACUGAAGGAUGAUAUAAGACUCUAAUAUUUGGUGUGGAAGUCUAUGUUGCUAAUGGCUAUUGCAAUUCUUAUUCAAAACUCAGUUCAAUCCAUGCAACUUGAAAAAAAAUUGUUUGCACUGAUAUUCAACAAAGAACAUUGCUCUUCAGGUAAGAGAGUUUUUUUGCCUACCAGGUGUGCCUAGGUUGCUGUGGCAAUAAAAACAAAGAAAUAAUUAUACUAUAAUAAUGCGGGUGGACGUUUCGCAUAAUAUCUUCAUUUUUUUCAUGACUAGUAACAAAGAAUUUUAAAAGAAAGGAACCGGCACAAAUGACUUCUUAAUCAAAAAAUGUCAUGUUAUUUAUUCAUCAUAAAAAUUAAUUCUAUUCCCCCUUCCAAAAAAAAGGACUUUGUGUAUGCAUGCCAGUGUUUGGAAAGGAAAGGAAAAAAAGAAUAUAAGGAUGAAGAAAAUUAACUUUGUUUUUUAAGAAGUAGAAUUAAUGCUAACUUUUCUUCUUCCUUCGAUGAGUAAAGCAUUUAAGUUUGGUCAAGUAAAAACAUGAAAAAUUAGGAUUGUUUUCAGAGAUGAAACCAAGAAGGUAGUCCAGCUAACACUUGUUGUCCCAAGUAAUUUAAAAUUUGUAUUUUGUUCAUUAAAAGUGCAUUAAAAGAUGAAUAACAUGAAAUAAUUUUGAUUGAUGCUGAAAUAAGAGAAGGGGUAUGUAAAAUUCCAGGAGUUUGUUUUAAGCCCUGAAAAAUGUUGAUUGAUCAUCAGCUCCCAGUGCCCAAGGUCAGUUGUGAUCGGCAUUCUUUACCAUUAAAAGGAUCUUUAAUGUCCUCUGUGAAGUGAGUCCAGUCACUAGUGAACCAGGACUGUUGAUUUAAAGCUCCAGAAGUGGGCUUGGCUUCUGUUUUGGGGUCUAGCACAACAAUUUGCAUCUUAUUUUGUAGCCUCAACAAAAACAGUUGAAUCUGGAAUGGGCACAAGGGCCAAAGUACAUUUGCAUCCUGCAAAGGCUGUUGCUCCACCUCAGACUGAGUUACGCUGAUGGAGCAGCAUGGGAAAACACUUGCAUUGCACUGUCCAUGCUCAUGUCUUCUGGAUUCUGGCCAGGGAUUUCUCAUUUCUAUUUGCUAGGCAAAAGGUGGGGCAGUGUGGCACCUUAGAGACUGACUUGUUCAGAAAUACAUAAGUUCUCAUAAGCAACAGCUUACUUCAGUGUUUCUCAACCUUUUAAAACUUACUUUCCAGCUAGCGGAAUAGCAAAAGACUCAUUCUGUAGAGAAAUGGAAUAGAUGGGCAUCAAAGGUCCAGUACCGCAAACAUGCUUAUUUGCACUAAGAUCUGUGCAGUGAUUUAUAGGUAGAGCUCUACCUAACUUGAGGAGGUGGCUAGCUCAGUUUUGCAGGUAGAUCCUGGGGCUGGCCACUAUUUUUGUGGGCUGAACAUUGUGGGCCCCCACCCCAUGACUUUGACUGAGGGGCCCUGGUGGCCCCAUCCCUCACCAUUGAUUGGUUGCAAGGGCUGUCUGUCAUACAGCCCUGCCUCUCACCACGACUGGUGGUGAGAUUGGCUGAGGAGCCAAUCAGCAGCAAGAGGCUCCCUCUGGGGAGCCAGCAUUUUAUUUUCAAGAAGUUUUUUUGUUUUUUUGUUUUUUUAAAUGCAGCUAGACUGCCAAAAUCACAGAGCCCACCAUUUUUUUGCAAAGGUUGCCCAAAUGUGUGGUUUCCACAAAAAUGGCAUAGUCGUGAAUCUGGUAGGUUGUGAAUUAUAAGUAGCUCACUUGUUUGCUCUGUCCACAAUUGAUCAGAAAGUUGUGCUUUCAGAUGUAUGCAGGAUUUAAGUUGUGUUGGCAGAAGCUAGGCUUUGAUGCUCUGCUCCUAGCAGUAGAAAUCUGUCCAGGUGGAGGGGAGGAAAGGAUGUAGAUGCCAUUUUGAGACACUGGCUGCCAUUAUAAACAGAGCAAAUGCCUGCUGGCAGGCCAGGCAGAAACAUCGCCUGGCUGAGUUGCUGUAUGGGAACAUCUUCAGGUAGGAGCAGGAGGCUCUUGGUCUUGGGCAUGACCUAAAACUGCACCCUGCUGGAAGUGGGUGACCUGGUGGGGCUCUCAGUGGUGCAGGAGCCUCCAGGAAAAUACCAGACCAGUUACCACCCCAGAGGAAGGUGGGUCAGGGUGCCUCAGUAACCCCUAGCCUCCACACCACUGUGGGUAGCAGUUGGGACCGGGCACGGCCACCUGAGCCCCCACUGGGGAGGGAAGUCCUGUAGCCCCAGUGAGGGGGUAAAAUAUGUGGAGCCCCAGUAAGGGUAGGCCCCAGUGAAGGGGUAGAGAUGUGGAGCCCUAGUGAGGGAGAAACCAGAGGGCUGGGAGCCCAGUGUGUGUGUGUGAGAGUUUGUGUAGAGUUGCCCUUGGAGGGGGCCAGGGCAAGCUUGGCCCCGGCCAGGUAAUUGGCCGGCCAUUACCCCAGUGAGGGUUGUGGAAGAGGCCCAAAAGUCGGUAAGUCUACCACCCAUGGUGUGCACUAGAUAAAGCCUAUGGCUGAAUGGACCCGCUCUAAGAGGGAGCAAGGCAGUAUAAGUUAUUGAAGCAUGAAAGAGACCCUACGAGAGGAGGUGGAGCGUGAGAGGCCCCAGUGAGAGGAGGGCAGUAUGAGUGCAUGUAUGAAUGAGGCCUGACAACAAGGGCUAAGCUUGGUCUGGCUGUAGGCUGGGAGUAUUUGUGUCACCUGGAUGCCAUCUGCGAGGCUUGGGCUGUGGUGUAGGGGAGGAUCGGAGCCGCAGAGAUUGCCCCCUGGCAUUGGGGCAAGAACGGGCAGCCUCCUGUCUAAUGAGAACCAAUUAUGAAACAACAAAGUGUGGCAGGUGAGUGAAGUGGGAGGUUAGCCCAGAAACAGGUGGGUGGGCCAAUGGCGAACCAGCCCCGAGAAAGCCCCCUGUUACACACAACUUGAUGAGUAGGGGAUGUCAUUGGUGUCCUUUCAAUAAAUCAAGUUCUAAUGUUUAGGAACCUACCAAAAUUGUGCUUUCAGGAUUUUCACGGAACCAUGAUUUUGGGCAGGCUUUGUUAAAAAGCGUGGACUCUGCACUUUUGGCAAACUUGGUGCAAUACUUCAGCCCCCCCUCUACCCUCCCCAAAACCAACCCCAACAACAACAACAAAAAACAACUGACAAAACCCCCCCUAAACUUAUUGGAAAGCAGAGAAGCCCUGCAGUUUUGGAGCAUGGGAGGGCGGAGGCAGAAAGAAGUGGUAGGGAGGAGGGAGGUGCAGGGUGGGGCUGCUUGCAGCAGCGAGCAGAGCAACCAUCCCCAUCCCAGGGCCACAGAACAUGUACAGAGCAUUUGCUAUGGUGAACACACUGCACAUAGUUGAAUAAAACCCAUCAAAGGGCAAGAGGUCAUCACUACCUGGAGAAGAAGGAAAGGGGAGGACAGCGGCAAGUCAGGCACAACCUACAAACUGCCCACCCCUCAUAACUUUACAGGGUUUAUUGCUGCAAGUUUGUCAUAGCAAACACUUUAUACGUGGUCUGUGGCCCUGGGAUGGGGCUGCUCAUCCCACUUGCUGCUGCAAGCAGCCCUGCUUUGUUUGUUUCCCUCCUCUCUGCUGUCUUCCCCCCACCCCCUUGCUCCAGGACUGCAGGGCUUCUCUGCUUACUGGUGUAAACAAACAAACAAAAAUUGGUUUUUUUUUUAUUGUGUUUUUUCCCCCAGCAAGCUGCCACUAGGGGAUGGCCUGAAACUGCCAGCUUAAUUAUGCUGUUUAAACCUGUAGAAGCCAUUAAUUCACAUUUAAUAACACAUGGAUUAAUGGCUUCCCUGAGCUUAAUUGGAGUAAUUAAGAUGCAGUUUCAGGCCAUGUGGCAAUCUGUGGAGAGGAGUGGGACUGCCAGGGUCCCUGGGUCAAUCAAAGGCAUAAGGGGCCCAGUAUGCGUAGCCUGCAAAAAUGGCAGCUGGCCCUGAGAUCUGCUUUCAAAAUUGGCUGGCCACCUCCUCAAGCUCAAUAGACCCCUACUAAUGUCCAAGGUUUCAAAGAGCUCAAGAAUUGCUCUGUAAAAUUUGGAUUCUGUUCUACUCUAGCUUACAGUCUGGACUUGAAUCUGGACGCCUUAUACAUUGUGGAAAGGUCCUCUAGAAUACAAUAGGAACUGAAAUAAUCAGGUUCUAUGAAAAUGUAAUAGGUUGCUAUAGAAAUGAUUCUAAAUAUUGUGAAAUUUAAUAGAAAAUGACAUCCUUUUAUGUCUUUUAAAAUUACCUGACAGUAUUUUAUACAAAGGGUGUGAUUAUUCUAAAAGAUGAUUUUAAAAGAGCUUUAGAAAAUGGAUUCUAUUAGGAUUUUGCUUUUCUACUCUGAAGUUUCCUUUGAAAGCAGGAGAAAUACAUGUUUAGCCCAAGACCUCUAUUUAAGGUUCUGCUGGGAUCAGUAUAAUUGGAGAUUAGAAAUUCCUAUUCCAGGUCACUGAGUACAUCAUGCUGGAUGGAGAGGGUAUUGUUUCAGUCAUGAGCAUAGUAUGGUGAAAUGAAAGUCUACAAAAUACAAUUCUUGUGCAAUAUGUCAGGACUAGAGCUGAGUGAAUAGUAGAUGUGUGUAACAGAUAUCCAUAUAAUACAUAUUGGUUUAGUGGCUGAACCUAAAAGUUGGAGUGGGAGAGGCUUCAACAUGUUUUGUUUACAUUUUAAAAUAAUUCAACCAUUUUUUCUUUAAAUUUAGGCCAACUAUUAAACCAAAUAUACCAUUUUGCAACCAAAGUCAACAUUUUGCCUCAAAAUAUACUGAAGUGAAACAUUUCAUCAUUCUGAAAAAUGCUGAAAUGAAAUAUUUAAAUUUUCCCUCUUUUUAUUUGAGGCUGAAGCUGUUCACUAAAAUCAUUCAGCAUCAAUAGGUUCAGUCCCUUUGAAACUCCUUUUCUUUUCUUUUUUUUGGCAAAACAUUUCCCUCAGUUCUGGUCAGGAUUUCCAGAUGCUCCACCCAAUCCUGUAAAAUUGUAGCUGUGUUAUCAGCCGCAUCUGUGCAUCCCUGGUUUUUGAUUUUUUUGUUGGGGUUUUUAUUUUUAUUUUUUUUUUGAGCGCGGUGCCUUUUGUAUUUCUAGGAGCCUGCAGGUUCAGUCCUUAUUUUCUGAAAGGCAGUUCUUACACUGAAGGUUUCAGAGGAGAUGCACACAACAUGGUCUGUCAAGCAUUUUUUACUUUUGUGCUUUCUUGCCUGUUUGCUUUUCUCUUCUUCACAGGUCACUGUAAGGGAAAGUUACCCUAAAUAAGGAAAUACAACAUCAUUAAUUAUUCUCACAAGCUGUGCUUCCACAUGGCUCUUCUUGGGGUCAUUGUAAAUGGUAAUUCCAGUUUUUAAUGAUAUUUUUGUAGAUGUUGUGUUUAACGUGGGUGUGGUCCGUGUGAUGUCAAACAGAAAGCCAUGAGGGUUUAAGUUAAUAUAUUGUUCCAGCAUCUUUAAAUAACUUGCCUCCUAGCUCAUGUUAAUAGGAUCCAACCAGUCCUUUCCAAUAGACCCCUGAUUUGUGCGAGUAUUGUAUUUCGGGGGAAUUUUGUGCAAGUCAGAUUCACCUAAGUUGGGACGACUUUCCCCAUAGGAAAUAAUAGAAUAGUGAGGGGUUGUGUACCCCAGACAUACCUUAGUCAUAGCUUUUUUUCCCCUUUUCUCGGCAGAAUCGCCUUUAGGAGGUGCGUCUAGCGUCUCACCUAUGCAUCUUGAUGCACAGUGGUGGUACAGCUCCACUUGAUUCCACCUGCAAAUUUUGUGAGGCGUUUGUGUAUAUAUGCCCGUAUAUAUGCGAAUCUCGCAAGCGUUCAUGUAUAUACACGAAUGAUGCACAUCUUGAGAGGCGUUUUCCAGUCCAGACCCUAAUAAAAAAUCAUGUGAACACGUGGCAUGCCUAAGUCGGACUCGCGUAAAUCAGGGGUCUACUGUAUAGAAGUUCCUAUACUUACAGCUUAUUUGUAUAAAGAAUGAUCUUUUCAUGGCUCUUUUGCACAAGGCACUUACCUCCAUACUGCACAGUUUCAAAUUAAAUUGCAAUGAGCAGCUAUUCCCACUGGGAGAGUCCAGAUCUUAUGAGGAAAAAAAUAAGCACUUGUCCCUUUUGUCACCAUCAGACUUGAUAUUUGUUCUGCCAACGCUCUUCUGCUCCCCUGUAGGUUUAGCUGAAAAUUCAUCUGCUUCCACCAUUAUUAUCUCCAAGAUUAGCAUCUCCUUCUACUACUAAUUCAGUAUGAUGGGUGCAUGGGAACUAGGACAGAAGACUGACAAAAGAGAUGGUUGUAACAGACAGGCAUGGAGCUGUUUAAAAUUCAACAUUUUUGAGUGUGAAAAGAGAAUGCUUGAAGGUGUAUAGGGAUAGGGUGGAUGGUAGAAGGGAGAACAAACCUGGUCCGAGGAAAAAGAACAUUAAAGGAAAGAUAAAUGGAAGUCAGGGAGAUGAUACUUUCAAUAAGGAAAAAGUUCACUAGACAAUGAACAAUAAGUUUUCCCACAGCUAAGACGGUAUGUUUUCUUCUUUAGUGCCAUUAACCACAGAUAAAGGAAACCCACUUUCUGCUAUCACCUACUUCAUCUCAACUUGAGAGCCUUUCCUCUCCAUGGAGGCAGUGACUCAGCAUAUAUAUAUAUAUAUAUAUAUUAAGAAUACUUUAUGUAACCUUUAAGUCUUCCAUGUACAAUGUGAACAUUAACUCUCUUGGAGCCUUUUUCCCUCCUUACAGCUGGCAGAACUGAACCAAAAUGACUGAGUUGCCUGAGGCUGUACAGAGAACCUGAAGCAACGCAGCCUUUUUGAAUUUCUGCAACAUGCCUGGUCCAUCUGCCUUACAGAAGUACCUUCUGAACAACAGAGUAACACCUCUAACACCAUACUUAGAAAACCGGGCAGGUCACAGAAAUGGAUAUUUCUGACUUUUGAAGAUAAGGAUAAAUGUUGCCCCCUUAUUGAUGCAAACAUUAUGCACUGACUAUGAGACUGAGAAAAGUUAAAGACCAGACUAAGCUCAUCCCCAUUUGUGCUUAAAUUUCCUGCUCCCACCCUCUUCUUUGAAACUGCUAUCCAAUUUUCUAAACAUGGACAGCUACGCCGGUAGACAGUGCCUUGUAUAAUGAUGGUACCCAUCUUUUUCUGUGCUCUUCCUUCACAACUCCAAAAGCAACAUCAUUGGAAUAACAAGAAAGUCCGCAGUCAGUUAAAACAUACAUAUUUCCCCAGUUGUCAGUCUUUCCCUUCUGAAGUUAAUGAACACCAACUGCUUGACCAAUAAUAAGGUUCAUGCCUAAGCUUGGGUUUGUAUAAAAUGUGUAUGUUUGUCUUCAGAAAGUAGAAGAGGAACUCUUUAUUGUUGCCUAGGGAUGAAAUCAGAAUUCCCAUUAGGUGCCUUAGAGGUGUAAUGAUGUGGCCAGGUACCUAGGACAGCUGUCACACACAAGAGCAGCAGCAACUUCUGGUUUCUGCCACACUGCUAGCAUUUUUUCCACUUCUCCCCCUUUCCCUCCCCCGCCAAUUUGGUGUCCAGGGCAGCUGCCCCUGUUGCUCUGCCCAAUUUCUGCCACUGAGGUGCUUGCAGCCUUUAUCGAUGACUUUGUUACUCCUGGUGGGGCUAUGAUAUAGACACAGACAUGAGCAGAUCUAGGAUUUUGAAAAGGGGCGGGGUACAAAUGGUGUGGUGCAUCAUUACACAUAACACAACACACAUUUUUCUCCAGGUAAAAAGAAAAUAGCAGCUUUACUAAUAAGCUAGGGACAUAGGGGAUAUUAUUCAGUUUAAGAUCAAAGCAAAAAACAAAUAUAACUUUAUUGGAAUGUGCUAUACCAUAUCUUCUGUAUAAAAACACAACAAACUAGGCAAAAAUAAUCAAAAGAUGUUGUUUCUCUAGCCCUGCUGUGAUUCGAAUUAAAUGUAUAUCUCUUUCAAAUUCAUAAAAUAAAAUCGGGCCUUCUUGAGCAUCUUGA